rnacentral:lncRNA from 1 species
AAUGCACAGGAAAGAAAUGGACAUAAAACCAAUUGGUCAUCUGCUUAUAAACUGUACAGCUUUCCCAGAGAGUCCACCUACCAUAUGGCUGAUGCUGGCCAAGCUGUGUGGUGAUUCAGAGUCAGGCCAGCUAUGGCAUUCCAAGACGUAAUUCCAUUUUGGCCUCGGGUCACAACGGAGAUCUCAAUGAUACCGUGAUGCUGUAAUGCUCCAGGCUGCGGGAGACACCCUGGGAGGAACCAAAUCUUCAUCUGUGUAGUUCCUGGGAGGAGCCAAAUCUUCAUCUACAUAGUUCCUCCUGCUCUUAGAUUUCCACCGCCCCCCAGUCUUUUGUUACACCUUGUUUAUCCCAAUGUGAAGUACUGAAAUCUACAUAUUCAUUUGUUACAUUUGUUUCUCCUGAUGUACUGAAUAAAAGGUGCUGCAAGCGAGGGGUUCUUGUCUUUGCUGCCCAGAGCAGCACUGAUCAGACCCAAAGCUCAGCUUCUUCUCAGUCUCAUUUUCCUACCUUUCCUGUAAUUCGCCAUGUGCUGCCGUGGCUCCCAGGAGACUAGGACUUACUGCACAGGUUCUGGUAACAUCCCCUUCCCCUGUUCCC